rnacentral:rRNA from 1 species
UACAGAGGUCCCAAGCGUUGUUCGGAUUCACUGGGCGUAAAGGGUGCGUAGGUGGUGAGGUAAGUCGGAUGUGAAAUCUCCGGGCUCAACCCGGAAAUGGCAUUGGAAACUACCUUGCUGGAGGAUUUGAGGGGGAUUGGAAUGACUUGGUGUAGCAGUGAAAUGCGUAGAUAUCAAGUGGAACACCAGUGGCGAAGGCGAAUCCCUGGAAAAUACCUGACACUGAGGCACGAAGGCCAGGGGAGCAAACGGG